AGUACGUGGUUUUUGUGAAACAAGUGAAAAGCCAGAAAGGUCGAAGCAGUAUGAUGAACUGUGACGUUACAAACACCGCUAGUGCCACAUCGCAGUUGGUUGUACAUGUCCAUGUCCUUUGGUUUUCAAAAGAUUGUACAAAAGCCAUGCACUCCACUGGUCGCCCUUGAAAGACUGCAGGUGGUACAUUUAAGUUUACUUCUAGGCCUGUCUUUUGCGAAAGUUACCUUAUUUUGCAGAUUGCCACUCUGCCAUCAAGGCCGACAGCAGGCAGAAAAAUCCUGACAUGACACACUGUUUCGACGUGUGGCACAUUGCAAGAAGUGCGUCAUGAAUAUACCUCAUUAUUAUACAGCAACAAUGAGUGCCUUGAUCGUGAACUGUUUUUCCUAGGAUUGAAGAAGAAGCUCAAAGCAGCAGCGAAAUUCCGCAACUGUUCUUAUAAUCAGCAAUGGAUACACAGCGUAAUCAACCAUCUCCACUGGGUGGCAGCUUUGAGACAAGGUGGUGGCGACCUAACAGUGAGCAUGUGGAAGUCUCUGGUGAACCAUAUAUGUGACCAGCAUCAUGGACAUGAAGCGCCCUUCGCAUAAUGUCUGCAUGUAACCCUUCAAGCCAGAGCAUGGAUGACACAAGAUUCACCCGCCUUCCAAAAGCUGAGACCAAUUUUCGAAAGCUUUCGCUUGCUAAGUGAUUUUCGCCACCUUUCACCUGGAGCACUGACGUACUCAUUAGUCAUUCAACAUCUUGUUGAUUCGCUUUGCCCCUAAAUCUGUAGCUCACCCGAUGGCAUGAAAGCAAAGUAAAUUGCCUAAAUGAAAUGAUACGAAGACGCAUACCAGCUUCCAAAUUUGUUUCCAGGGAUCAACUAGCUGUUCUUCACUAUAAUGAGAAUGCUACAAGACAUAAGGCUUCCACAAGGAAAGGAGCGCUACGAUGGAAAGUAAAGCUCAGCAAAGCGAGGAAGGGGCCCUUCACCGUCGCCCCUUGCAAGACACUGCCAGCCUAUGGCUACGUUCAAAAGCUCGUCCAAGCAGUGAUGAUGAGGUGUGAGGCCAGCUCAUACCGGAGCAGCCUUGCCAGCAGCUAAACUGGGCUACGCCUGCACAUGAGAGACGCUUACGAAAAGCCAUCCAAGGAGGCACUCAUUGCUGCACGAUAGUCAAGAUUUUCUGCUACAGCUGAGUAAUUUCUAAGAAAAUCAUUGCCUUUUUUAUUUUGUCAGAACAGCAACUGCUUACCUUGACGUCAUCUCUACGUACACAUAGCUUGAUCUCCCCCUCACAUGAUGAGGGGAGGAGGAGAAUAAGCUGGUGCACCAAGUAAGUGGAAUUGAGUAUGUUGAAGAAAAGAGGAGGACGGAGAAAAAGAGAGGAGGGGCUGAGGACGGUGUUUAAUUGUCAGACUGAGACAACAUAAGGAAACUGAUACCGGUUUAGAAGCAAGGCUGGCAAAAAAUGUAAGCGGACACAAACAUGCAAGUAGUUGCUGGCAACAACUGCACGCCCAUCUUCCCCCAAAAGAGGAAAUGGGACGUCGUGCUGUUCUAAUGCGUGGAAAGAAAAACAACAAAAAUGCAGAAAGAAAAUCUAAAUUGUUAGA
rnacentral:lncRNA from 1 species